GAAAUAUCAAUAAAUAAGCUUCUAACUUAAACAAUAGCGUGAAUACGUUAAUAUUUCU
rnacentral:tRNA from 1 species